AUUGAACGCUGGCGGCAGGCCUAACACAUGCAAGUCGAGCGAGCGGCGGACGGGUGAGUAAUGUAUGGGGACUGCCCGAUAGAGGGGGAUAACUACUGGAAACGGUGGCUAAUACCGCAUACUGUAGGAUUACCCCUAUGUGAUUAGCUAGUAGGUAAGGUAACGGCUUACCUAGGCGACGAUCCCUAGCUGGUCUGAGAGGAUGAGCAGCCACACUGGAACUGAGACACGGCCCAGACUCCUACGGAGGCAGCAGUGGGGAAUAUUGCACAAUGGGCGCAAGCCUGAUGCAGCCAUGCCGCGUGUAUGAAGAAGGCCCUAGGGUUGUAAAGUACUUUCAGUCGGGAGGCGUUACCAACAGAAGAAGCACCGGCUAACUCCGUGCCAGCAGCCGCGGUAAUUC
rnacentral:rRNA from 1 species